GAGGCCAUGCUCGGCUUACACAUGCAAGUCGAGGGGCAUCAGGGAAGAAAGCUUGCUUUCUUUGCCGGCGACCGGCGCACGGGUGAGUAACACGUAUCCAACCUGCCCUUUACUCGGGGAUAGCCUUUCGAAAGAAAGAUUAAUACCCGAUAGUAUAAUGAUUCCGCAUGGUUUCAUUAUUAAAGGAUUCCGGUAAAGGAUGGGGAUGCGUUCCAUUAGGUUGUUGGUGAGGUAACGGCCCACCAAGCCUUCGAUGGAUAGGGGUUCUGAGAGGAAGGUCCCCCACAUUGGAACUGAGACACGGUCCAAACUCCUACGGGAGGCAGCAGUGAGGAAUAUUGGUCAAUGGGCGCUAGCCUGAACCAGCCAAGUAGCGUGAAGGAUGAAGGCUCUAUGGGUCGUAAACUUCUUUUAUAUAAGAAUAAAGUGCAGUAUGUAUACUGUUUUGUAUGUAUUAUAUGAAUAAGGAUCGGCUAACUCCGUGCCAGCAGCCGCGGUAAUACGGAGGAUCCGAGCGUUAUCCGGAUUUAUUGGGUUUAAAGGGAGCGUAGGUGGACUGGUAAGUCAGUUGUGAAAGUUUGCGGCUCAACCGUAAAAUUGCAGUUGAUACUGUCAGUCUUGAGUACAGUAGAGGUGGGCGGAAUUCGUGGUGUAGCGGUGAAAUGCUUAGAUAUCACGAAGAACUCCGAUUGCGAAGGCAGCUCACUGGACUGCAACUGACACUGAUGCUCGAAAGUGUGGGUAUCAAACAGGAUUAGAUACCCUGGUAGUCCACACAGUAAACGAUGAAUACUCGCUGUUUGCGAUAUACAGUAAGCGGCCAAGCGAAAGCAUUAAGUAUUCCACCUGGGGAGUACGCCGGCAACGGUGAAACUCAAAGGAAUUGACGGGGGCCCGCACAAGCGGAGGAACAUGUGGUUUAAUUCGAUGAUACGCGAGGAACCUUACCCGGGCUUAAAUUGCAGUGGAAUGAUGUGGAAACAUGUCAGUGAGCAAUCACCGCUGUGAAGGUGCUGCAUGGUUGUCGUCAGCUCGUGCCGUGAGGUGUCGGCUUAAGUGCCAUAACGAGCGCAACCCUUAUCUUCAGUUACUAACAGGUCAUGCUGAGGACUCUGGAGAGACUGCCGUCGUAAGAUGUGAGGAAGGUGGGGAUGACGUCAAAUCAGCACGGCCCUUACGUCCGGGGCUACACACGUGUUACAAUGGGGGGUACAGAAGGCAGCUAGCGGGUGACCGUAUGCUAAUCCCAAAAUCCUCUCUCAGUUCGGAUCGAAGUCUGCAACCCGACUUCGUGAAGCUGGAUUCGCUAGUAAUCGCGCAUCAGCCACGGCGCGGUGAAUACGUUCCCGGGCCUUGUACACACCGCCCGUCAAGCCAUGGGAGCCGGGGGUACCUGAAGUACGUAACCGCAAGGAUCGUCCUAGGUAAAGCAACCCC
rnacentral:rRNA from 1 species